rnacentral:rRNA from 1 species
AGUGAACGCUGGCGGUAGGCCUAACACAUGCAAGUCGAACGGCAGCACAGUACGAGCUUGCUCUUACGGGUGGCGAGUGGCGGACGGGUGAGGAAUAUAUCGUAAUCUACUUUUUCGUGGGGGUUAACGUAGGGAAACUUACGCUCAUACCGCAUACGCUCUAGGGGUGAGAGCGGGGGAUCUUCGGACCUUGCGCGAUUGAAUGAGCGGAUGAGGGAUUAGCUAGUUGGGGGGGGAAAGGCCAAGCAAGGGGGGGAUCGGUUGCUGGACUGGGUGGAGGGUCAGCGACAUUGGAACGUGACCACGGACCAUGGUCCUACGGGAGGCAGCAGUGGGGAAUAUUGGACAAUGGGCGGAAGCCUUACCCAGCCGUACCGCGUGUGUGAAAGAGGCCUUGGGGUUGUAAAGCCCUUUUUUUGGGAAAGAAAAGCAGCAGGUUAAUACGCCGCUGUUCUGACGGUACCCAAUGAAUAAGCACCGGCUAACUUCGUG